UUCCUAGUAAGGAAAGGGAAGGGAAGUUUCCUGCAGCUGCUACUUUUCUGGCCAUUGGAGGGGCCAGGCCAAGCCUGCUCCUCGGUUGCUCCUCUGGCACUCCUGGGACUGUAUCUAUCCGUGGAAGGGGAUUCUGGGUUUUUGACUUCUAGACCUGCAUUGCUUCCCUGCUUCCUGAGAGUUGCGAGAAAGGGGAAGAGUGUCUUGUUCUCAGACAAGCAUCUGAUGUUGCCCUGGGAGUGGGUGUUACUAGGUGCACAGUUUUCCAUGAAAAAUACUUUGGUGGCUUUUAGCAGUGAAUUAAACUCUCCAGGAUGAUGAAGGGAGUAUCUUACAAUGUUUAAAGAUUUUAAAAAGCCCAGUGAGUGCAGAUUUGACCCAGUGUAUUUUUGUCCCUCUUGUCUUUUAAUCCUUAGACCUUUGAGAGAUCCGUUCCGCUUCUAGAUCAGAUCCCCCCAUAUGACACUCACAAGAUUGCGGUGUUGUAUGUUGGCGAAGGACAGAGCAACAACGAGCUUGCCAUUCUGUCCAACGAGCACGGUUCCUACAGGUACACGGAAUUCCUGACUGGCCUGGGCAAGCUCAUUGAGCUCAAGGACUGCCAGCCAGACAAGGUUUAUCUUGGUGGCCUGGACGUGUGUGGAGAGGAUGGGCAGUUCACCUACUGCUGGCACGACGACAUCAUGCAAGCUAUUUUCCAUAUUGCCACCUUGAUGCCCACCAAAGAUUUGGAUAAAUAUUGCUGUGACAAGAAACGACAUUUGGGGAAUGAUUUUGUUUCCAUAAUUUACAAUGAUUCAGGGGAAGACUUCAAACUGGGGACCAUAAAGGUAAGGCGAAGAGC